UACGUAGGUGGCAAGCGUUAUCCGAAUUUACUGGGUGUAAAGGGCGUGUAGGCGGGACUGCAAGUCAGAUGUGAAAAUUAUGGGCUCAACCCAUAACCUGCAUUUGAAACUGUAGUUCUUGAGUGAUGGAGAGGCAGGCGGAAUUCCGUGUGUAGCGGUGAAAUGCGUAGAUAUACGGAGGAACACCAGUGGCGAAGGCGGCCUGCUGGACAUUAACUGACGCUGAGGCGCGAAAGCGUGGGGAGCAAACAGG
rnacentral:rRNA from 1 species